rnacentral:rRNA from 1 species
CGGGAGGCAGCAGUGGGGAAUUUUGGACAAUGGGGGCAACCCUGAUCCAGCCAUGCCGCGUGUGUGAAGAAGGCCUUCGGGUUGUAAAGCACUUUCAGCGAGGAGGAAAGGUGUGUGGUUAAUACCCGCAUGCUGUGACGUUACUCGCAGAAGAAGCACCGGCAAACUCCGUGCCAGCAGCCGCGGUAAUACGGAGGGUGCGAGCGUUAAUCGGAAUUAUUGGGCGUAAAGCGCGCGUAGGCGGUUUGUUAAGCCAGAUGUGAAAGCCCCGGGCUCAACCUGGGAACUGCAUCUGGAACUGGCAGGUUAGAGUUCAGUAGAGGAAGGUGGAAUUUCACGUGUAGCGGUGAAAUGCGUAGAUAUUUGGAGGAACAUCAGUGGCGAAGGCGGCSUUUUGGACUGAUACUGACGSUGRGGUGCGAAAGCCUGGGGAGCAAACCGGAUUAGAUUCCCUGGUARUCCCCCCCUUAGAAWUCACCUAGCCGUUGGAAUCCUUGAGAUUCAGUGGCGCAGCUAA